rnacentral:lncRNA from 1 species
GCGUGUUAUUUUGAUACGUUUAUGCAUUAUAUAUUGUAAUAUGAUUACCAAUGUAGCGAGAUUUAUCACAUUACAUAAUUAUAGUACAAUGUUAUUGUCUAUAUUAACUAUAUAGUGCCUUAGAUCUCUUUAAAAUGGUUCAAAAAUGGUUUAAAUGGUAAAUUUUCUGUUGUAUAUAUUUUACGACAAUAAUUUUUUUUUAACAGUGAGAAUCAAUAAGCCAGUGAGCUAGAAAGAAUAGGAGGUUGCGGCCAGAUGUUGGCGUUUGGUUUUAUUAUUUUGGAGCUGGUACAGUUUCAGAUCAUUAAAGUCUAGAGUGUGGCCAUGGGAAUGGGUGGCUGAGGGGGCACAGAAGAAAAUGUUACCGAGGGAAAGAUCCAGGAGCUAAGGCUACAUGGUUAACAUCCACGCCAGGGAGGAGAGGAGAGGGAUGCGGAGGAAGAUGGACGGCCCUGGAGGACAGGCAUGACCGUGGAGGGGGAGGGGAGCCAGCCUCCUCGCAGCGGGGGCGGGAGUGUAGCGUCUGCUGGAGCUAACUGCAAACCUGGGUACACGCUGUAGGGGAACGAGCAGCCUCCACUGACAGGGGCUCAAGGGCUCUGCCGGGUGAGGAGGUGAAGCCGGGCAGGGGAGAGGCUGCUCCGGCCACCCAUCCCGCCGGGAUAUCGCAGAAGACCCCGGCCACCCCGUCAGCGGAAGGAGUCCACAUUCGUUUUGGGAUUGAGUUCCUUGUCCUCAGUUCUGCCAGCUUUCAACGUCACGCACUCUACACUGGAACAAGAAUUUGUGCCAAAGAUCUGUUUCAUGACUGCUCACGAGCACAUUUCACAGCAAACGAUCAAGAAUGCAAACGUAAGAAAUCUCGGCAGAGCUACCACCCAUUUGAGAUCACAUACAAUCUGGCCCCAGGAGCCACGCGCUGAGGACGGAGUCUCACCACGGCUCUCCUCCCUGUCCGGAAAGGAUCGGCAAGGCCACUCCUCACACCAGCAGAGAGCCGCGCCGAAGUCCGUGUAAGUCACCCCUGCACGAACGCCUCUGCCCAUCCACGGAUUGAAUCACCCAGGAGACAGCGGGCCUUGUCUCUCCCGCCAAACGCCGUUCACACAGCCUCCUGUUUACUAGUAACCGCCCCCCUGCACGUGCCAAUUCAUGGUCUUGAAUAAUUAAUCCAGCACGUAUGAAUAAUUAAGGCUCAGUUGAGAGCUAUAACUGAGAAAUCUUACAGUCAUUUGGCUUUUUCAUGCAGUGUGGUGGAAGGAACCAAGAAUUCUUGGACAAAGAUAUCAUGACAAGAGUAGAGAAUGUUCAUCCAGGUAGCCAGUCCUUCUGGAGCUGGUAGUUCAUCCCGCUGUGUGGGGCUUCUGGCUUCCUGUUGCUGCAAAAUUUUCUAAGUUCCAUAACCUUCACUCUUUGUAAGGGGAGCAAAAUUCACCAGGCUUAACAAGAAGGUGGGUACUCACAGUCCUUGGAAAGAAGAGAGAACCACGUGUCAGUGCUGUGCAAGUUUCAGUUUCCUUUCACUCAUCCCUCCUGAACAAUUUUGGGAAGAAGCUGGUAAACAGAAGUAUGCCCAAUGGCUCAGGGUCAAGCUCCUUCCUGCUCAGGGGCUUUCCUCAUGCUGUUCCCUCCACG